rnacentral:rRNA from 1 species
CCUACGGGUGGCAGCAGUGGGGAAUAUUGCACAAUGGGGGAAACCCUGAUGCAGCGACGCCGCGUGAGUGAAGAAGUAUUUCGGUUUGUAAAGCUCUAUCAGUAGGGAAGAAAAUGACGGUACCUGACGAAUAAGCACCGGCUAACUACGUGCCAGCAGCCGCGGUAAUACGUAGGGGGCAAGCGUUAUCCGGAUUUACUGGGGGUAAAGGGAGCGUAGGUGGGAUGGUAAGGCAGAAGUGAAAACCUGGGGCUCAACCCCGCGGAUUGCUUUUGGAACUAUCAGGCUGGAGUGCUGGAGGGGUAAGCGGAAUUCCUAGUGUAGGGGUAAAAUGCGUAGAUAUUAAGAGGAACACCCGUGGCGAAGGCGACUUGCUGGACAGAAACUGACACUGAGGCUCGAAAGCGUGGGGAGCAAACAGGAUUAGAUACCCGUGUAGUC